UAUAUUGUGAUUUCUGAAUCAAAAUACUAGCUGGUCUCAAAACCUUCAAGGACACUCAACAAUAGUUUGUAUCAAGGAACACAAAAUCUUUACUAGUAAAAUUUCCAGCCCACUCAGUUAAAAACACCAGAUAGCACUAUUGAAAAGAUGUGUGAAGAAAUUGAGAGGGGCAUGAAUGAAAACUGGUUGGCAAGAUACCAGGAAAAAUUAGAAUAAAUGAUCUGGACUAACUUGGAGAAAGAGGCCUUG
rnacentral:lncRNA from 1 species